CGUAGGGUGCGAGCGUUAAUCGGAAUUACUGGGCGUAAAGCGUGCGCAGGCGGUUAUAUAAGACAGAUGUGAAAUCCCCGGGCUCAACCUGGGACCUGCAUUUGUGACUGUAUAGCUAGAGUACGGUAGAGGGGGGUGGAAUUCCGCGUGUAGCAGUGAAAUGCGUAGAUAUGCGGAGGAACACCGAUGGCGAAGGCAAUCCCCUGGACCUGUACUGACGCUCAUGCACGAAAGCGUGGGGAGCAAACAGGAUUAGAUACCCUGGUAGUCCACGCCCUAAACGAUGUCAACUGGUUGUUGGGUCUUCACUGACUCAGUAACGAAGCUAACGCGUGAAGUUGACCGCCUGGGGAGUACGGCCGCAAGGUUG
rnacentral:rRNA from 1 species